rnacentral:tRNA from 1 species
GGGCGAUUGGCUCAGUGGGAGAGUGCUGCCUUCACACGGCAGAGGUCGCAGGUUCAAAUCCUGUAUCGCCCACCA